GGCCCUUCCCAGCUCCAGGUAACAUCAGAAAGAUCACAGUCCAGGAAUGGGUCUUCAAGAUCACUAACAACAACUACAACAAACAUCAGAAGAAAGAUAACGAAAUUGACUUGGGUUUUGGAGUUCUGUGUGUACCCUGGUCAAGACCAUAAAAUAACAAAUCCGGCACUAGAACCCAGGUCUUCUGGGAAGUUUCUCCAAGUUGUCCUUGUUGAUCUGAAAAGUAAUUGAAAGUAAGUAAUGUGACAUCUGAGAACUACACUUCUGAUAAGCGCAACAUUUCUUCAUAGAGUAUUUGUGUGAAGCGCUGUAAUUAAAUGCAAAUACAUCUCAUUUUUAGUAUUAUUAUCUUUUAAUUCUUAAAUGCUUUACCUUUCUAGCCCAA